UACAGAGGUCUCAACCGUUGUUCGGAUUCAUUGGGCGUAAAGGGUGCGUAGGUGGCGGUGUAAGUCUAACGUGAAAUCUCGGGGCUCAACCUCGAAAUUGCGUCGGAUACUGCAUUGCUAGAGGAUUGUAGAGGAGAGUGGAAUUCAUGGUGUAGCAGUGAAAUGCGUAGAUAUCAUGAGGAAGACCAGUUGCGAAGGCGACUCUCUGGGCAACUCCUGACACUGAGGCACGAAGGCUAGGGGAGCAAACAGG
rnacentral:rRNA from 1 species